rnacentral:tRNA from 1 species
CUAAAGAUAGAUUAAAUAAAUCAUUUCUCCUGGGAAGAAAAAAUACAAGAAAAUCUCGUUCUUUAAU